rnacentral:rRNA from 2 species
GGCAGGCUUAACACAUGCAAGUCGAACGCAUCCUUCGGGGUGAGUGGCAGACGGGUGAGUAACGCGUGGGAACGUGCCCUUCAGUUCGGAAUAACCCAGGGAAACUUGGGCUAAUACCGGAUACGUGCGAGAGCAGAAAGAUUUAUCGCUGAAGGAUCGGCCCGCGUCUGAUUAGCUAGUUGGUGAGGUAAUGGCUCACCAAGGCGACGAUCAGUAGCUGGUCUGAGAGGAUGAUCAGCCACAUUGGGACUGAGACACGGCCCAAACUCCUACGGGAGGCAGCAGUGGGGAAUAUUGGACAAUGGGCGCAAGCCUGAUCCAGCCAUGCCGCGUGAGUGAUGAAGGCCUUAGGGUUGUAAAGCUCUUUCGUCCGGGACGAUAAUGACGGUACCGGAAGAAGAAGCCCCGGCUAACUUCGUGCCAGCAGCCGCGGUAAUACGAAGGGGGCUAGCGUUGUUCGGAAUCACUGGGCGUAAAGGGCGCGUAGGCGGCUUGAUAAGUCGGGGGUGAAAGCCUGUGGCUCAACCACAGAAUUGCCUUCGAUACUGUCUGGCUUGAGACCGGAAGAGGUAAGUGGAACUGCGAGUGUAGAGGUGAAAUUCGUAGAUAUUCGCAAGAACACCAGUGGCGAAGGCGGCUUACUGGUCCGGUUCUGACGCUGAGGCGCG